CAUAAAGUGUUGUGCUCCAUUCGACACACUACAGUUGGUCUAGAACCAUCUCUUCUUCCAUCUCUUCUAAUCCAAUAUAGCAGAGAAGUACCCUUUUCACAUCUUUAAACUUUCAAAAAUACUUUUAUCUCUCUUCAUUUUUUCUUCCGUCUCUUGCAAUUUCAGUAGAACAGUCAGGUCCGAUGGCUCUAAGCAUUGGCUGCACAAUAUAGAAGCCUAACAAAGGGUGCGAAAGUUGCAAAAAGGACGACUAACCACAACACCAUCAAUGCAUUAAGCAUCAAAUUUUCUGAAUAUGUAAAUAGUAU